AUAUGCCUACGGGGCGCAGCAGUGAGGAAUAUUGGUCAAUGGUCGGGAGACUGAACCAGCCAAGCCGCGUGAGGGAGGAAGGUACAGAGUAUCGUAAACCUCUUUUGUCAGGGAACAAAGACUGGGACGCGUCCCCGGAUGAGUGUACCUGAAGAAAAAGCAUCGGCUAACUCCGUGCCAGCAGCCGCGGUAAUACGGAGGAUGCGAGCGUUAUCCGGAUUUAUUGGGUUUAAAGGGUGCGCAGGCGGUCUGUUAAGUCAGCGGUCAAAGCCCGGGGCUCAACCCCGGCCCGCCGUUGAAACUGG
rnacentral:rRNA from 1 species